CCAGGUGGAAGGUGCGGUAAAACGCACUGGAGGACCGAACCCACGUACGUUGAAAAGUGCGGGGAUGAGGUGUGGGUAGCGGAGAAAUUCCAAACGAACUUGGAGAUAGCUGGUUCUCUCCGAAAUAGCUUUAGGGCUAGCCUCGGAAUUGAGAAUGAUGGAGGUAGAGCACUGUUUGGACUAGGGGCCCAUCUCGGGUUACCGAAUUCAGAUAAACUCCGAAUGCCAUUCAUUCAUAUCCGGGAGUCAGACUGUGAGUGAUAAGAUCCAUAGUCGAAAGGGAAACAGCCCAGACCACCAGCUAAGGUCCCAAAAUAUAUGUUAAGUGGAAAAGGAUGUGGGGUUGCACAGACAACUAGGAUGUUGGCUUAGAAGCAGCCAUCAUUUAAAGAGUGCGUAAUAGCUCACUAGUCGAGUGACCCUGCGCCGAAAAUGUACCGGGGCUAAACAUAUUACCGAAGCUGUGGAGUACACCUUUAGGUGUAUUGGUAGGAGAGCGUUCUAAGGGCGUCGAAGGCAGAUCGUGAGGACUGCUGGAGCGCUUAGAAGUGAGAAUGCCGGUAUGAGUAGCGAAAGACAGGUGAGAAUCCUGUCCACCGAAUGACUAAGGUUUCCUGGGGAAGGCUCGUCCGCCCAGGGUUAGUCGGGACCUAAGCCGAGGCCGAUAGGCGUAGGCGAUGGAUAACAGGUUGAUAUUCCUGUACCCGUUGUUUUUGUUUGAGCAAUGGAGGGACGCAGGAGGCUAAGGAAUGCAGACGAUCGGAAAUGUCUGUCCAAGCAGUAAGUCUGAAGAGGAGUCAAAUGCUUCUUUUCUUAAGGACAAGCUGUGAUGGGGAGGGAAAUAAUAGUACCGAAGUUCCUGAUGUCACACUGCCGAGAAAAGCUUCUAGUGAGAAAACAGCGGCCCGUACCGCAAACCGACACAGGUAGUCGAGGAGAGAAUCCUAAGGUGAGCGAGAGAACUCUCGUUAAGGAACUCGGCAAAAUGACCCCGUAACUUCGGGAGAAGGGGUGCUGAUCAUACGAUCAGCCGCAGUGAAUAGGCCCAAGCGACUGUUUAUCAAAAACACAGGUCUCUGCAAAAUCGUAAGAUGAAGUAUAGGGGCUGACGCCUGCCCGGUGCUGGAAGGUUAAGAGGAGUGCUUAGCGCAAGCGAAGGUACGAAUUGAAGCCCCAGUAAACGGCGGCCGUAACUAUAACGGUCCUAAGGUAGCGAAAU
rnacentral:rRNA from 1 species